CCCAGCAGGACCCAGUGGACAGUCUCACCUCGCCUGUGCAGCCCAGAGUGGUCGGUUCCACUGAUCCACGUCUCUAUGCUUCACCGAUGCCGCACUGGUUUGAUUGCUGUGACUUCAGAAUCGUUAACACAAUGGGUUAUAAUGGUGGAUUUUCAGCUAAUGAACCAGCCUUGCAUUCCUGGAAUAAAGCCUACUUCAUCGUGGUAUGUUAUUCGUUUUAUAUACUAUAGUGUUCGAUGAUCAUACUUUGUUGAGGAUUUUCGCAUUUGGUUCGUGUGGGAUAUUGGUCUGUAGUUUUGGUCUGUAUUCUUAGGGGUGGGCACGUCGGAAAUGCUGUCCCCAUGGUGUGAGUUGGGGCGCAUCCUCUCUUCUGUUUUUCUGGAAGAGACUGAAUAGAAUUGGUGUUACUUCGUUAAAUGUUUGGCAGAAUUUGCCAUUGGGCCUGGAGACGCCUUUUUCCGUAGGUGUAACUACAAAUUCAAUUUUUAAAAUGGUGAUAAGGCUGUGAUGUUUUAAUUUCUAAUACACACAUAUCUGGUCUUCAUCCAUGAUUGGCUCGCAGCUCCUCAAAGCUUUGAAAUUUCUCGAGUACUAAGAGCAAUGGAAGCGUCUUCCGAUACAACAUGGGGCCUUUUGUCCUCAGGUGAAGUUGAUUCAGAGCCAAGAAGGUGAAAUGGGUGUUCACAAGCCCCUUUCAACCGCACCUGGCUUUAUGUUAAUGAACUUAAAUCCUCUAAGGAUGGGAGCUGGUUGCCAGGGGAGCCAACCAGGAUUAGAGGGUUGGAGUCUCCCUAAAAACCCAACAGGAGGGGGCUCAGAGAGUUUCCAGACUGGGGAACCAGAAAGCCAGCCAGGCCCAGGGCCCAAACUCCACGGCACUGAUGCUCCCGUUAGGGACCCUCCAGCCCUUGGCCUCCUCGUCUCUUCCCCUGGCUGCCCGAUCGUACCCUUUCACAUCCUCUCAACAAACUGGGGCGCUCGUAACUUAAUGGGUUUCCUGAGUUCCGGAAGUCAUUCGAGCAAAUGGAUCAAGCCUGAGAAGGGGGUCAUGACCUCCAAUUUACAGCCUGUCAGUCGGAAGCAGAGGAGACAACCUGGACUGGCAUCUGUAAGUGGGGGCAGCUUAUGGGACUGAGCCCUUGACUGUGGGAUCAGGUGCCAUCUCCAGGUCAAUAGUGUCAGAAUUAAGUCAAAUAUAUGGGACACCCAGUCAGUGUCCCACAAAAAUUGGAAAAUUGCAGACGUGCUUGGUGGUGUUGGGGAAAAAAACACAUAUUGUAAGGACCAUCCCAGUUCCUAUGUCAUCUUGAGUGAGUUUUGCAAGUUCGUGGUUUUUUGAACGGGUCCAUUUCAUCUAAGUUGUCAGCUUGUGUGUGCGUGGCUGUUUUUCGUGUUCCCUUCUUAUUCUUUGCAUGUCUCCAUGGCCUGUAGAGAUAGCCUCUUUCCUGAGAUUGGGAAAUCAUGUCUUCUUUCAUUUUUAUCUAUCUUAUUAAAGACUUAUCAAUGUA